rnacentral:rRNA from 1 species
UACAGAGGUCCCAAGCGUUGUUCGGGUUCGCUGGGCGUAAAGGGUGCGUAGGCGGUCGGGUAAGUCUGAUGUGAAAUCUCACAGCUUAACUGUGAAACUGCAUUGGAUACUAUCCGGCUUGAGGAAUGGAGGGGAGACUGGAAUACUUGGUGUAGCAGUGAAAUGCGUAGAUAUCAAGUGGAACACCAGUGGCGAAGGCGGCCUUCUGGACCAGUACUGACGCUCAUGCACGAAAGCGUGGGGAGCAAACAGG